GAUGAACGCUGGCGGCGUGCCUAAUACAUGCAAGUCGAGCGAACGGACGAGAAGCUUGCUUCUCUGAUGUUAGCGGCGGACGGGUGAGUAACACGUGGAUAACCUACCUAUAAGACUGGGAUAACUUCGGGAAACCGGAGCUAAUACCGGAUGAUAUUUUGAACCGCAUGGUUCAAAAGUGAAAGACGGUCUUGCUGUCACUUAUAGAUGGAUCCGCGCUGCAUUAGCUAGUUGGUAAGGUAACGGCUUACCAAGGCAACGAUGCAUAGCCGACCUGAGAGGGUGAUCGGCCACACUGAGACUGAGACACGGUCCAGACUCCUACGGGAGGCAGCAGUAGGGAAUCUUCCGCAAUGGGCGAAAGCCUGACGGAGCAACGCCGCGUGAGUGAUGAAGGUCUUCGGAUCGUAAAACUCUGUUAUUAGGGAAGAACAUAUGUGUAAGUAACUGUGCACAUCUUGACGGUACCUAAUCAGAAAGCCACGGCUAACUACGUG
rnacentral:rRNA from 1 species